rnacentral:rRNA from 1 species
GAAAGUUGACCUCGGAUCAGGUAGGGAUACCCGCUGAACUUAAGCAUAUCAAUAAGCGGAGGAAAAGAAACCAACAGGGAUUGCCCCAGUAACGGCGAGUGAAGCGGCAACAGCUCAAAUUUGAAAUCUGGCCCCCCCCCGCGGGGCCCGAGUUGUAAUUUGCAGAGGAUGCUUUUGGCGCGGCGCCUUCCGAGUUCCCUGGAACGGGACGCCAUAGAGGGUGAGAGCCCCGUCUGGUCGGACGCCUAGCCUCUGUAAAGCUCCUUCGACGAGUCGAGUAGUUUGGGAAUGCUGCUCUAAAUGGGAGGUAUAUGUCUUCUAAAGCUAAAUACUGGCCAGAGACCGAUAGCGCACAAGUAGAGUGAUCGAAAGAUGAAAAGCACUUUGAAAAGAGGGUUAAACAGUACGUGAAAUUGUUGAAAGGGAAGCGCUUGUGACCAGACUUGGGCGCGGCGAAUCAUCCGGCGUUCUCGCCGGUGCACUUCGCAGCGCCCGGGCCAGCAUCAGUUCGCGGCGGGGGACAAAGGCGCCGGGAACGUGGCUCCCCCGGGAGUGUUAUAGCCCGGCGCGCAAUGCCCCGCGGCGGACUGAGGUUCGCGCAUCCGCAAGGAUGCUGGCGUAAUGGUCACCAGUGACCCGUCUUGAAACACGGACCAAGGAGUCGUCCUCGUAUGCGAGUGUUCGGGUGUCAAACCCCUACGCGCAAUGAAAGUGAACGCAGGUGAGAGCCUUUGGCGCAUCAUCGACCGAUCCUGAUGUUCUCGGAUGGAUUUGAGUAAGAGCAUACGGGGCCGGACCCGAAAGAAGGUGAACUAUGCCUGUGUAGGGUGAAGCCAGAGGAAACUCUGGUGGAGGCUCGCAGCGGUUCUGACGUGCAAAUCGAUCGUCAAACAUGGGCAUGGGGGCGAAAGACUAAUCGAACGUGCAGUGCG